AUGCCCCUGGACUUCACCAAGAACCUCGUCGCAGUGCCGACGGAGUUCAAUAUGAGGAACAACAUCGGCUGCUCCUGGAGGGUGACGGUGAAGCUGAUGAACGGCAGGGUGACCUUGGAUCGGGGUUGGGCCACCUACGCCGCUGUUCAUCAGAUCAAGAUCGGCUACAUGGUGACGUUCAAGCUCCUCACUCCUGACACCCUCAAGGUUAUCAUCUUCAACGACGAUGGCAUUGAGGUGGUCAACAAGUGCGGGAAGCACGACGAAGCUUUUGCCGCCAAGGACUAG
rnacentral:rRNA from 1 species